CCAGUCUAGCUUCAUUCCUCACUCCUCCAGGCACUGACUGCUCUGGAACACUCCCCGGCUCCACUGGAAUCCGCAGGGCUGCAGAGUGCAGGCUCUGAGCCCUCGCAUGGCCACUAAUCUUCUCCUGUCACUCUCACCGAACUUGUGCCUUUCUUGGCCUCUCCCCAACACAGGCCUGCAGACCAUCUCUGAGGUCAGGCUCUCAGGAAUGACCAGCCUUGGGCCUCCACUGCCUCCGGAAAGGAGUCAUUUACACAGCGCCUCUCAUAUUUCAAUCAUCAGGUUGGCAAAAGUCGAGGGCACCAAACACAUCAGGAGCCGCGGUGGGGGACCACCAAUAGGAUCCUAUGCUGCUCCUGGGACUGAGGAUUGGUGCCACCUCCUUGGAGACCCACUCAGAGGUGGUUACUCAGUGUUUGACGGCAUGUGUGCCUUGGACCCCAAAUUCCACUUCCGGGUACCUUUCCUAAGGAAACACAGCUCCUGGCAACAAGGACACUGAAGGAACACUUGAAAACGCUGAAAUUGUAAAGGAAAACCAAUAAACCUGCACAAGGGUCCUUACGUGUGGAAAUAAAGAAUCAUGUCAGGGAGACCCAGAAGGGCUUGGGCAGCCAAGGUAAGAUGGCGAGUGAGGGGGCAGGGCCAGAACAAAGGAACGUGGAGAAGGUCUUCUAAUGAAGUCAAUUUGCUGGUUGACGAGAAGGGCUUGUGCACACAAGCAGGGGACACAGUGAGACAGACACGUCACACUCACGCUCUUGAGGGGGAAUCCAGCAGAAAAAGUAAAACAGACAGGUGGACAGAGGGGGCUCCCAUCAAUACUAGUGAGGACAGUGUGGACAGGGAGGAGAAAAGGAAAGGAGGAAAUGCCAAAGAACACAAAAUACAAGCAGAGCCCCCCCCCCACGGAUUUCUGGCUCUGGGGCCCCUUUUCUGCAGACAAGUCUAUCUCUGUCGCUUUUGCAGUAAACCUGCUGCUUGCUUGCUAUCUCUGUGUCCCGCCCUUCAGUUCUUUGCUGAAUGCAGACAGUGAACCCAUCACCCCUAGAGGAUAACGUUGGCACAUUCUGGAGAAUGCUAGGUAGAAGGUCAAAGUGAUGGGACAGUUCUCCAGGAACGCACAGGAAAAGUUCACCCGGACUUCCUGCCAAAUGCAAAAUCCAAGUUGCCACACUACAUGCAGCGUGAUCCAGUGUGUUUUACAGCCCCGUGAAACAGAGCCAGGCAUUUCCACAGGGGUAUUCGGAUGUAUGUGAACACACGAGUGGAGAAUACUUGAGGAAACACACCAGGCUGAAGCACCUUGUGAAGUUGGGAGCUGUCGUGGAGAGCACUUCUUGAGGUGAAUCCCACCCACAGCACAGGAGUCUCCUUAAGGAAGCUCCAUCCCACCCACACCCUCCGGGUCCAUUCAAGGCAGGUGCCCAGAGGCAGCUUAUUUUCUCCAGGACACUCAGGGAGAAAAGGAAAUCCACAGAGGCUGAGCAGGGCUGUCAGCCUCACCCCACGUUGGGUUCUGGGGGAGUGUGCAGCCUGACCACCAGUAGCAGCCCCAGACUCAUUGCUCAGCAAAAUCCCAAGGGACCCUGCUCCCCGGCCAUCCAGAUCACAGAUGUCACUACCUUCAGAUACUGAAAGAUACAUCUGGCCCCUCAUCCUAACCUAAAGCAGCCAACUACCACUCCCAGUGUUACCAAAGAAGUGGGGGAGUGAGGACCCUUGCCAUGAACUGCCACUGCUUUUAACAUCACCAAUGACAUCAGAAUCCCUGGACCUGACCAUGGGUACAACCUAGAGCCUCUGAGAGGACAAGAUAUGGGGAUGGAUCCCCAAAACGGAUUGAUUGGGCCCCGAGAAAACUCACUCAGAAACUCCAGCAUAAGGGCUCAGAGGCU